rnacentral:rRNA from 1 species
UACGAAGGGGGCUAGCGUUGUUCGGAAUCACUGGGCGUAAAGCGCACGUAGGCGGCUUUUUAAGUCAGGGGUGAAAUCCUGGAGCUCAACUCCAGAACUGCCUUUGAUACUGAAGAUCUUGAGUCCGGGAGAGGUGAGUGGAACUGCGAGUGUAGAGGUGAAAUUCGUAGAUAUUCGCAAGAACACCAGUGGCGAAGGCGGCUCACUGGCCCGGUACUGACGCUGAGGCACGAAAGCGUGGGGAGCAAACAGG